GACGAACGCUGGCGGCGUGCUUAACACAUGCAAGUCGAACGGAAAGGCCCUGCUCUUGCUGGGUGCUCGAGUGGCGCGCGGGUGUGUAACACGUGAGUAUCCCCCCCUUGACUUUGGGAUAACUUCAGGAAACUGGGGCUAAUACAGGAUAGGAGCUCCUGCUGCCUGGUGGGCGUUGGAAAGUUUCGGCGUUUGGGGAUGGACUCGCGGCUUAUCAGCUUGUUGGUGGGGUAGUGGCUUACCAAGGCUUUGACAGGUAGCCUGCCUGAGCGGUUGACCGGCGACAUUGGGACUGAGGGACGGCACAGACGGCUAAGUUAGGCAGCAGGGGGAAAGAUUGCACAAGGAGCGGAAGCCUGAUGCAGAAGCGCCGCGGGCGGGAUAACGGCUUUGGGGUGAUAAACAGGUUUCGCCUGAAACGAAGCGUGAGUGACGGUAACGGGUAAAAAAGCAACGGCUAACUACGUG
rnacentral:rRNA from 1 species